CGCGCAGCGAGAGGUGCUUGCACCUUUCAGCGAGUGGCGAACGGGUGAGUAACACGUGGAUAACCUGCCUCAAGGCUGGGGAUAACAUUUGGAAACAGAUGCUAAUACCGAAUAAAACUUAGUAUCGCAUGAUAUCAAGUUAAAAGGCGCUACGGCGUCACCUAGAGAUGGAUCCGCGGUGCAUUAGUUAGUUGGUGGGGUAAAGGCUUACCAAGACGAUGAUGCAUAGCCGAGUUGAGAGACUGAUCGGCCACAUUGGGACUGAGACACGGCCCAAACUCCUACGGGAGGCUGCAGUAGGGAAUCUUCCACAAUGGGCGCAAGCCUGAUGGAGCAACGCCGCGUGUGUGAUGAAGGCUUUCGGGUCGUAAAGCACUGUUGUAUGGGAAGAAAUGCUAAAAUAGGGAAUGAUUUUAGUUUGACGGUACCAUACCAGAAAGGGACGGCUAAAUACGUGCCAGCAGCCGCGGUAAUACGUAUGUCCCGAGCGUUAUCCGGAUUUAUUGGGCGUAAAGCGAGCGCAGACGGUUGAUUAAGUCUGAUGUGAAAGCCCGGAGCUCAACUCCGGAAUGGCAUUGGAAACUGGUUAACUUGAGUGUUGUAGAGGUAAGUGGAACUCCAUGUGUAGCGGUGGAAUGCGUAGAUAUAUGGAAGAACACCAGUGGCGAAGGCGGCUUACUGGACAACAACUGACGUUGAGGCUCGAAAGUGUGGGUAGCAAACAGGAUUAGAUACCCUGGUAGUCCACACCGUAAACGAUGAAUACUAGGUGUUAGGAGGUUUCCGCCUCUUAGUGCCGAAGCUAACGCAUUAAGUAUUCCGCCUGGGGAGUACGACCGCAAGGUUGAAACUCAAAGGAAUUGACGGGGACCCGCACAAGCGGUGGAGCAUGUGGUUUAAUUCGAAGCAACGCGAAGAACCUUACCAGGUCUUGACAUCCUUUGAAGCUUUUAGAGAUAGAAGUGUUCUCUUCGGAGACAAAGUGACAGGUGGUGCAUGGUCGUCGUCAGCUCGUGUCGUGAGAUGUUGGGUUAAGUCCCGCAACGAGCGCAACCCUUAUUGUUAGUUGCCAGCAUUCAGUUGGGCACUCUAGCGAGACUGCCGGUGACAAACCGGAGGAAGGCGGGGACGACGUCAGAUCAUCAUGCCCCUUAUGACCUGGGCUACACACGUGCUACAAUGGCGUAUACAACGAGUUGCCAACCUGCGAAGGUGAGCUAAUCUCUUAAAGUACGUCUCAGUUCGGACUGCAGUCUGCAACUCGACUGCACGAAGUCGGAAUCGCUAGUAAUCGCGGAUCAGCACGCCGCGGUGAAUACGUUCCCGGGUCUUGUACACACCGCCCGUCACACCAUGGGAGUUUGUAAUGCCCA
rnacentral:rRNA from 1 species